rnacentral:rRNA from 1 species
UACGGAGGGGGCUAGCGUUGUUCGGAAUUACUGGGCGUAAAGCGCACGUAGGCGGCUUUGUAAGUUAGAGGUGAAAGCCCGGAGCUCAACUCCGGAAUUGCCUUUAAGACUGCAUCGCUCGAAUCAUGGAGAGGUGGGUGGAAUUCCGAGUGUAGAGGUGAAAUUCGUAGAUAUUCGGAAGGACACCAGUGGCGAAGGCGACUCACUGGACAUGUAUUGACGCUGAGGUGCGAAAGCGUGGGGAGCAAACAGG